rnacentral:rRNA from 1 species
CAGUCGUACCGACGAGAAAUCAGCUUAUCGUGUGUAAACUUGUGGGCGUGCGUGAGUUUCGGCCUCGCUGUUUGCAUGUUUGUGCUCUUUGGGUGUACUUUUUCGUAUGGUAGGCCAACAUCAGUUUCGAUUACUAUAAAAUGACUGGCGGAAUGUAGCUUCGAUUUCGGUUGAAGUGUUAUAGCCUCUGGUAGAUGUGGUGAUUGGGACUGAGGAUUGCAACGAAUAUCCUUUGGGCUAUCCGUCUGGCCUCUGAAAGUUGCUUGGGUGCUGAAAGCUUGCUUAUGGUUAUCUAAGUUAACGGUCAAUAGGUUAGAACGCGAUUACA